GCAAGGUCGAACGGUAAGAGGAAAAAUCUUGCUGCUUCGCUGACGAGUGGGGACGGCGAAAAAGGUCUGGGACACUGCCUGAUGGACGGGGAUAACUACGGAAAACGGUAACUAAUACCGCCUAACGGCGCAAGACCAAAGAGGGGGACCUUCGGGCCUCUUGCAUUCGGAUGUGCCCAGAUGGGAUUAUGUUGUAGGUGGGGUACCGGCUCACCUAGGCCACUAUCCCUACCUGGACUGAGAGGAUGACCACCCACACUGAAACUGAGACCCGACCCCUACUCCUACGGGAGGCGGCAAUGAUUAAUAUUGGACAAUGGGCGCAAGCCUGAUGCGCCCAUGGCGCGAGUAUGAACAACGCCUUCGGGUUGUAAUGUACUUUCAAGGGGGAGGAAGGGAGUAAAGUUAAGACCUUUGCUCAUUGUUUUUAUUUUAAGAACAAGCACCGGCUAACUCCGUGCCCGCAGCCGCGGUAAUACGUGAAGGUGCAAGCGUUAAUCGGAAUUACUGGGCGUAAAGCGCACGCAGGCGGUUUGUUAAGUCAGAUGUGAAAUCCCCAGCCUCAACCUGGGAAUCUGCAUCUGAUACUGGUAAGCUUCGAGUCUCGGAGAGGGG
rnacentral:rRNA from 1 species